UACAGAGGUGGCAAGCGUUGUUCGGAAUUACUGGGCGUAAAGGGCGCGUAGGCGGCCUUCUAAGUCGGACGUGAAAGCCCCAGGCUUGACCUGGGAACUGCGUCCGAUACUGGGAGGCUUGGAUUCGGGAGAGGGAUGUGGAAUUCCAGGUGUAGCGGUGAAAUGCGUAGAUAUCUGGAGGAACACCGGUGGCGAAGGCGGGUCUCUGGGCCGAUACUGACGCUGAGGAGCGAAAGCGUGGGGAGCAAACAGG
rnacentral:rRNA from 1 species